rnacentral:rRNA from 1 species
UACGUAGGGUGCAAGCGUUAAUCGGAAUUAUUGGGCGUAAAGAGCUCGUAGGCGGUCUGUCGCGUCGGCUGUGAAAACCCGGGGCUCAACCCCGGGCCUGCAGUCGAUACGGGCAGACUAGAGUGCGGUAGGGGAGACUGGAAUUCCUGGUGUAGCGGUGAAAUGCGCAGAUAUCAGGAGGAACACCGGUGGCGAAGGCGGCGCUCUGGACCGAGACUGACGCUGAGGCGCGAAAGCGUGGGGAGCAAACAGG